GAUGAACGCUGGCGGCGUGCCUAAUACAUGCAAGUCGAGCGAACAGAUGAGGAGCUUGCUCCUCUGACGUUAGCGGCGGACGGGUGAGUAACACGUGGAUAACCUACCUAUAAGACUGGGAUAACUUCGGGAAACCGGAGCUAAUACCGGAUAAUAUAUUGAACCGCAUGGUUCAAUAGUGAAAGACGGCUUUGCUGUCACUUAUAGAUGGAUCCGCGCCGCAUUAGCUAGUUGGUAAGGUAACGGCUUACCAAGGCAACGAUGCGUAGCCGACCUGAGAGGGUGAUCGGCCACACUGGAACUGAGACACGGUCCAGACUCCUACGGGAGGCAGCAGUAGGGAAUCUUCCGCAAUGGGCGAAAGCCUGACGGAGCAACGCCGCGUGAGUGAUGAAGGUCUUCGGAUCGUAAAACUCUGUUAUCAGGGAAGAACAAAUGUGUAAGUAACUAUGCACGUCUUGACGGUACCUAAUCAGAAAGCCACGGCUAACUACGUG
rnacentral:rRNA from 1 species